GACGAACGCUGGCGGCGUGCUUAACACAUUCAAGUCGAACGGAAAGACCCUGCUUUUGUAUGGUUCUCGAGUGGCGAACGUGUGAGUAACACGUGAGUAACCUGCCCUUGCCUUUGGGAUAACUUCAGGAAACUGGGGCUAAUACCGGAUAGGAGCUCCUGCUGCCUGGUGGGGGUUGGACAGUUUCGGCGGUUGGGUCUGGACUCGCGGCUUAUCAGCUUGUUGGUGGGGUAGUGGCUUACCAAGGCUUUGACGGGUAGCCGGCCUGUGAGGGUGACCGGCCACAUUGGGACUGAGAUACGGCCCAGACUCCUACGGGAGGCAGCAGUGGAGAAUAUUGCACAAGGGGCGGAAGCCUGAUGCAGCAACGCCGCGUGCGGGAUGACGGCCUUCGGGUUGUAAACCGCUUUCGCCUGUGACGAAGCGUGAGUGACGGUAAUGGGUAAAGAAGCACCGGCUAACUACGUG
rnacentral:rRNA from 1 species